CGAGAUUCCCCCAGUAGCGGCGAGCGAACGGGGAGCAGCCCAGAGCCUGAAUCAGUGUGUGUGUUAGUGGAAGCGUCUGGAAAGGCGCGCGAUACAGGGUGACAGCCCCGUACACAAAAAUGCACAUACUGUGAGCUCGAUGAGUAGGGCGGGACACGUGGUAUCCUGUCUGAAUAUGGGGGGACCAUCCUCCAAGGCUAAAUACUCCUGACUGACCG
rnacentral:rRNA from 1 species